rnacentral:lncRNA from 1 species
GUUGUCUUUUGCUUGUAUUAUUUUCUAAAAUAAAUAUUUUGUCCCAUUUUGAAAUCCUAUUGGUUUUUCAUAAAAUAUAUAUUUAGGGGGUAAAUGCAAAUGUCGUUUGAAAAAUGUUUUUUAAUUGAUACCAUUUUUCUUUUUCUAUCUUUAAAUUUUAAUUUUUAUCAGCAAUAACCAUAAUUAUAGAACUUGUGGGACAACUUUGACGGAUCCCGCGCUCAAUGCUGAAGGGUUUUAAAACCCAGCCUUUAUUUAAUGUGCUAUAAUUAUCUUAAUUAAAUGAGUCGUUUUUUCUUGUAAAUAAGGUAAACCCAGUUUCGGUGAAUUUGUCAAUUUUUUCUUCUCAUGGCAAUGAUUAUAGACAUCUACAGAAAAGUUUUUGUAAGUCGUACCAGAAAGGUCUAUAAAAGUCAAUGGGGAGACCAUCAAUUAAGU